rnacentral:rRNA from 1 species
GACGAACGCUGGCGGCGUGCUUAACACAUGCAAGUCGAACGGAAAGGCCCUGCUUGCAGGGUACUCGAGUGGCGAACGGGUGAGUAACACGUGGGUGAUCUGCCCUGCACUUCGGGAUAAGCCUGGGAAACUGGGUCUAAUACCGGAUAGGAGCCAUUUUUAGUGUGAUGGUUGGAAAGUUUUUUCGGUGUAGGAUGAGCUCGCGGCCUAUCAGCUUGUUGGUGGGGUAAUGGCCUACCAAGGCGGAGACGGGUAGCCGGCCUGAGAGGGUGGACGGCCACAUUGGGACUGAGAUACGGCCCAGACUCCUACGGGAGGCAGCAGUGGGGAAUAUUGCACAAUGGGCGCAAGCCUGAUGCAGCGACGCCGCGUGGGGGAUGACGGCCUUCGGGUUGUAAACUCCUUUCGCUAGGGACGAAGCUUUUUGUGACGGUACCUAGAUAAGAAGCACCGGCUAACUACGUG